UGAGCAAUCUGCCCUUCACAUCGGAAUAACCAUUGGAAACGAUGGCUAAUACCGAAUAUGACUUCGGAUCGCAUGAUCUGAAGUGGAAAGCUCCGGCGGAGAAGGAUGAGCUCGCGGCCUAUCAGCUAGUUGGUGUGGGUAAUGGCCCACAAGGCGACGACGGGUAGCUGGUCUGAGAGGACGACCAGCCACACUGGAACUGAGAUACGGUNACGUA
rnacentral:rRNA from 1 species